UACGGAGGGGGCAAGCGUUGUUCGGAAUUACUGGGCGUAAAGGGCUCGUAGGCGGCCAACUAAGUCGGAUGUGAAAUCCCCAAGCUUAACUUGGGAACUGCAUCCGAUACUGGAUGGCUUGAAUCCGGGAGAGGGAUGCAGAAUUCCAGGUGUAGCGGUGAAAUGCGUAGAUAUCUGGAGGAAUACCGGUGGCGAAGGCGGCAUCCUGGACCGGCAUUGACGCUGAGGAGCGAAAGCGAGGGGAGCAAACGGG
rnacentral:rRNA from 1 species